GAGACGACGAGGUCCGGCCGGCAUCGCUCGAUCGCCGGCAGGAUCGUUGCCGGCUCUGU
rnacentral:sRNA from 1 species